rnacentral:rRNA from 1 species
GGAGCCUGCGGUUUAAUUGGACUCAACGCCGGGCAGCUCACCGGAUAAGACAGCUGGAUGAUAGCCGGGCUGAAGACUCUGCUUGACUAGCUGAGAGGAGGUGCAUGGCCGUCGUCAGUUCGUACUGUGAAGCAUCCUGUUAAGUCAGGCAACGAGCGAGACCCACGCCAACAGUUGCCAGCAUGUCCUCCGGGAUGAUGGGGACACUGUUGGGACCGCUCUGCUAAAGAGGAGGAAGGAAUGGGCAACGGUAGGUCAGCAUGCCCCGAAUUAUCCGGGCUACACGCGGGCUACAAUGGUCAGGACAAUGGGUAUCGACACCGAGAGGUGGAGGCAAUCUCCUAAACCUGUCCUUAGUUCGGAUUGUGGGCUGCAACUCGCCCACAUGAAGCUGGAAUCCGUAGUAAUCGCGUUUCAAAAUAGCGCGGUGAAUAUGUCCCUGCUCCUU